rnacentral:ncRNA from 2 species
ACAAAUUGUAGAGGUGCGAAUGCGAUAAGUAUUCUUUCAGAGUGGAAAACGAUGAAGAAAGAGGAAAGGCGUAUUCGCCGAAAUCAAUUAAGCGUCAUCUUAAUUGGUUGGUAUCGUUAUCGAAAGGAACGAUACUGUCAUAGCGGAGGCUAUGGAGUGCUACUGUUAGG